rnacentral:rRNA from 1 species
AGCAGCCGCGGUAAUUCCAGCUCCAAUAGCGUAUAUUAAAGUUGUUGCAGUUAAAAAGCUCGUAGUUGAAUUUCGGGAUUGACACAUCGGUCGUGCCUUAAGGGGUAUGAACUGGUGUAGUCAAUUUCUCACCUUCUGGAGAACCGCGAUGCCCUUAAUUGGGUGUCACGGGGAACCAGGACCUUUACUUUGAAAAAAUUAGAGUGUUUAAAGCAGGCAUUUUGCUUGAAUACAUUAGCAUGGAAUAAUAAAAUAGGACGGCAUGAUUCUAUUUUGUUGGUUUCUAGGAUCACCGUAAUGAUUAAUAGGGGUAGUUGGGGGGCAUUAGUAUUCAAUUGUCAGAGGUGAAAUUCUUGGAUUUAUUGAAGACUAACUACUGCGAAAGCAUUUGCCAAGGAUGUUUUCAUUAAUCAAGAACGAAAGUUAGGGGAUCGAAGACGAAUCAGAUACCGUCGUAGUCUUAACCAUAAACUAUGCCGACUAGGAAUCAGACGAUGUUAAUUUUUAAUGUACUCGUUGG